CUUUGGAAGACACACCAAACUAGAAACUUCUUAGUAAUUUUUCCAUGGGAGCAUUAACUUCACCCUUCAGAGGUUAAGGGGAGCAAACAAGAACUUGAAGCAAUUUGUAAGCCAUCAGUGUUUGAUUUGUAAGUGAGCUAACUGCAUAUUUUAGCAGGUUGAGAGGAAAAGAGUGAAACAAUUUUAUUUAUCGAUUUGUUUUUGAAGUGCAUAAAUUGCUUUUAUCUCUGCUUUCCUCCUGUUUCCCUAACAGGGUUGUCAUCUGCCCUAUUCUUUCCUGUAACUGGAUUGUUCAUGUACUCUUAGUGCAUUUUUAUAUUGGCUAAAAUAAUCCAUUUUCUGUAUAUUUUAGAGCAGGAAAAGCAUCUGAUGCUUACUGCCAUGGCUAUUUUUCACAAACCAUCUAGAGUUCCCUCCUUCUAGCAUAAGAAGAUCCAAGGCUAUUGCCAGGGUUGUCUCCUGGAUUGAUCAGACUGUGGCUUCUCUGUCCUAUAUAGACAAGGAUAAAGAACCUCCCCGAGGUGCUCUAGGAGAGACAGCGAGAUCUGGUGGUGGGAUAUGGAGGUCUGAAGUCUCCCACCUGCUCUGCCAAGCAUGUACUCUCCAGCUUUGGGUGCACUGUGAGUUGAUUAACUCUGUUGUAGGAGACACGAACUGCAGCAUACCUACCAGCCACUGUUUGAGAAAAAGGAAGAGUAGAUCUGUGCCAUACAACAAUAUUUAUAAAUUAACUUAA
rnacentral:lncRNA from 1 species